UGCAGUCGACGAUGAUGCCCAGCUUGCUGGGUGGAUUAGUGGCGAACGGGUGAGUAACACGUGAGUAACCUGCCCCUGACUCUGGGAUAAGCGUUGGAAACGACGUCUAAUACUGGAUAUGAUCGCCGGCCGCAUGGUCUGGUGGUGGAAAGAUUUUUUGGUUGGGGAUGGACUCGCGGCCUAUCAGCUUGUUGGUGAGGUAAUGGCUCACCAAGGCGACGACGGGUAGCCGGCCUGAGAGGGUGACCGGCCACACUGGGACUGAGACACGGCCCAGACUCCUACGGGAGGCAGCAGUGGGGAAUAUUGCACAAUGGGCGAAAGCCUGAUGCAGCAACGCCGCGUGAGGGAUGACGGCCUUCGGGUUGUAAACC
rnacentral:rRNA from 1 species